rnacentral:lncRNA from 13 species
UGAUGGUCUUUGCGUGCAAGGCUGUGGCUUUUGUAGUCUUCUGUGAUCAUUCUUGUUUUCAAGUAUUUGUGCAGGAGAUGCUUCUCUUCAUGACACUCCUAGGCUUGAUUUGUCAGGAUUUUUUUUUUUUUUAUUUGGAGUUUUGCCGUUGUUGCCCGGUCUGGAGUGCAAUGGCGUGAUCUCGGCUCACCGCAACCUCUGCCUGCAGGGUUCAAGCAUUCUCCUGCCUCAGCACUCCUGAGUAGCUGGGAUUACAGAGGGAGACAUUAUCUCUAGCUUCCAAAGCUGUUUACUAGAGGAACAACUUUUAAAAGAUGCUCCAGUACAAAGACCUUUUUGGUGCCUCUAAGACUGUCAGAAACACAAAAGACCCAUGAAGAAUCGGCUCCCAGUAGUGCUGGGAUUCAAGCAACCCACUGCAGCGGCCAAAAUAGCAGCGAUAAGACUGAUGGUGCUCUUCUGCCCAGGAAUCUCUGGUCUGGCUUCUUUCUUAAGUCCGCAACAAGCGUCUCUGCCUUCCCCGAGCUCCAAACACUGGUCAGUAAGGGAACCAGUUCCGUUUACUC